UGCCAGCAGCCGCGGUAACACGUAGGGGGCGAACGUUGUCCGGAUUUAUUGGGCGUAAAGGGCUCGUAGGCGGUUUAGCAAGUCGGUCGUGAAAGCCCGGGGCUCAACCCCGGGACGCCGGUCGAAACUGCUAUGACUAGGGUCCGGUAGAGGUGAGUGGAAUUCUCGGUGUAGCGGUGAAAUGCGCAGAUAUCGAGAGGAACACCAGUAGCGAAGGCGGCUCACUGGGCCGGUACCGACGCUGAGGAGCGAAAGCGUGGGGAGCAAACAGGAUUAGAUA
rnacentral:rRNA from 1 species